rnacentral:rRNA from 1 species
UACGUAGGGUGCGAGCGUUAAUCGGAAUUACUGGGCGUAAAGCGUGCGCAGGCGGUUUUGUAAGACUGAUGUGAAAUCCCCGGGCUCAACCUGGGGACUGCAUUGGUGACUGCAAGGCUUGAGUGUGUCAGAGGGAGGUGGAAUUCCGCGUGUAGCAGUGAAAUGCGUAGAUAUGCGGAGGAAUACCGAUGGCGAAGGCAGCCCCCUGGGUCGAUACUGACGCUCAUGCACGAAAGCGUGGGGAGCAAACAGG